rnacentral:rRNA from 1 species
CCUACGGGAGGCAGCAGUGGGGAAUAUUGCACAAUGGGGGAAACCCUGAUGCAGCGACGCCGCGUGAGUGAAGAAGUAUUUCGGUAUGUAAAGCUCUAUCAGCAGGGAAGAAACACACCCUCCGGGGUGGCUGACGGUACCUGACUAAGAAGCCACGGCUAACUACGUGCCAGCAGCCGCGGUAAUACGUAGGGGGCAAGCGUUAUCCGGAUUUACUGGGUGUAAAGGGAGCGUAGGUGGCAAGGCAAGUCAGAUGUGAAAACCCGGGGCCCAACCCCGGGAGUGCAUUUGAAACUGUCUGGCUAGAGUACAGGAGAGGUAAGUGGAAUUCCUAGUGUAGCGGUGAAAUGCAUAGAUAUUAGGAAGAACACCAGUGGCGAAGGCGGCUUACUGGACUGUAACUGACACUGAGGCUCGAAAGCGUGGGGAGCAAACAGGAUUAGAUACCCGGGUAGUC